rnacentral:lncRNA from 1 species
UUUCUAGAAACCAAAGAUGCUAUUCAAACCUCUGUAUUAUCCCGUCGGUGGAGAUCUGCAUGGAAGCAUGUUCCCACUCUCAAUAUUCGUAGCAAAUCCUUCAGAGAGUAUGCAAGUUUCAAAAUAUGCUUAGACAAGAUUUUGUCCCUACGCUAUCCACUUAGUCUCCGAAAGGUCAUAUUGUUUGACCGCGGAAUUGCUGAGGAUCGUGACGGUUGCCUAUUCGCAAGGCUCAUCAAAUAUGCCUUCUCCCAUGAUGCUAAACAUUUGUUCAUUGACAUGACCAAUAAUGUCUUAUGGGAAGACGACACAGAGUACUAUUUCUCUGGAUUGUUUGACACUGUCUCCGAUUGCAGUCUUGAAACCUUGACAUUAGUCACUGUCUUCAUCGAUUUCGAAAUUCAAUCUUCUGGUUUCCGGAUGCUCACAAAAUUAGAGCUGCUCCGAUGCAUGUUCCUCUCUGAUGGUGAAGGUCUUGUGGAUCCAUUCUCUAAAUUUCCAUGUCUGGAGCAUUUGGUCUUGCUUACUACGUUACCUGAGAACCUUCAAGGUGAUGGUAAGAGAUUGAGGAUUUCCGGACACAGAUUACUUAGUCUGAGCAUAACGGAAAGUUAUUUCAGGAAACUCGAAAUACAUGCACCGAAACUUGAAUAUUUCUAUUAUCAAAGUUUUGAGGAGCAUGUGGAAUUCAAAGAGCUAAACCUUCCCUCCCUCGAUCAUGCUGUGAUUUGGAUCUACAAUGAGUGCUGUUGUGAUGGGAACCCUGAGCAUGGAAUACAUUGUUGGAUGUCCUUGUUGCAUGGGCUGAGUAAUGCGAGGACUCUCAAGUUGUGUCACUCUACGAUUGAGGUACUCCUUGGAUUCAUAUCCUUGUAAUCGAAAUGCUCUUUCUACUUCUAGGUAAGUGUUUGCCUUAUGUUUUGAUGAACUUUGAAUUUUGUUUUGUUUGCAGCUAUUGAGUGGUAUAUCCGAGUUUCUAGAAAAACAGCAGUCUCCUUUCACAAGACUAGAGACUUUGAGUUUGGAGGAGCUAGAAGUACAUGAGGCACCCGCAGUGAUCGACUACUUUGUUAAAGGUGCUUCUUCAGGUACAAAACCGGUUGUUAAGUUUGAAUGACAGUUCGCUUAUCUCGACUGUGGAGUCACAACUAGUUCCUUCAGAAGAACAGUAGGUUUCUCUAGUGUUGCUGCUUUGCAAGUAGGCAUAUUACAGGGUUUUGCAAAUCACACUGUAUGUCGUUGUUAUGUAGUGAACAGAAGCUGCUCCCUUAAUUUGACUGCAAAUGUUUGUCGGACUCGCUCUAUUUGGUUUCCUAACUACAACCAUUCUCUUCUAUCCAUACAUUAUGUAUUUACAUUUGUAUGCUCUGUUCGUAUAACAUCAUAAAAGAGCUCGAGCACGUUUGUAACCUUAAACGAGCUCAAGCUCAGCCCGUUUACAACCUUACCGAGUUCAACCUUACAUUGCGACAAGAAAGUGCACUUUAAGGAGCAUUUAGUUCAAUUUCAAUUGAGGACUGUAAGAGUGAUAACGCAUAUCAUCAAAAUAAUAAAAGCUAAAAUUAGAGUUGGUUUACCUGGCUCACCGAGCUCCUAAACAAUCCGGCUCGUGAAUUAAGUUUGAUGAGCCAGCUUGAAAACACUACACGAAUCUGUUUGUGGCUCGGGUUGGAUUGGUUUACCUUUCUAGACGUUUUGCGAAUGGGUUCGCUUUGAGCCAAAUCUAGAGAGGAACGCAUAUUUCCCGAACCAAACUUCAAGCGAAUGACGACCAAUUUGGCUCCCUUGCAUGAUCAUAUAUUCAUACUGGGAACUGGGAAGCUACUGCCAACAGUCAUGCCACAAUUUAUCGGCGUUGUUGCAUACAGUUCGAUGAAGCAGUAGAUGGUAGCAAACUUUUUUUACAUGAGCAUGCCAUUAACAGCACCAAGGAACAGCAAGAUGACAUGCAUUUCCAAAAAAAUGGAGAUAUUCAUCAAAACUGAUUGAUGCGUCUGCCGGGAGUCGAACCCGGGUCUAUUGCUUGGAAGGAAAUUAUCCUAACCGUUGGACUACAAACGCUUAAUGUUUGUUGUGACAAAUGAUGAAAUAAUCAAAAUGCAUAUGAAAACACCGAUGCAGAAUCUAAAAUAUAAUAAUAUACAAUGCAUUCAACCUUAGCCAUAAUAACAUGAGCUGCAUUUUACUCUAAAUGAUACAUCUAAAUUAAUUCAAUGGAUAGGGAGCCAUUUGAUGGGUGCCCGCACCAACUUGAAUAUUCAUCUGUCCUAGGUUUCAAACUUAAAUUGCCCUAACAAUUUAUAAUGGCUUAGUUGCCUGCCACUCUACACUCAUUUACUCUCUCAAUUCUCUACUUUUUUCAUGACAAAUCACCUGUAAGCUUCCGAGAAUCAUCCGCCGAUCGCAACAUUUAUUGACGAUCAUAUUCAGGUAAGAAACAACAAAAAGUGACAAUCCGUUGUCGGCCCAUGUGGACUCAUCAGAGACGGCGUUGGAGCCCGUCACUCUGGCAACAAACAGACGACAAUACCAUCGCUGGUGGGAUUCAAACGGACCGAUCAAUGGCGAAGCUAGGAUUUUACUUUGAUUAGCACCUCUUCCUGUAUUAAGUUCAUCUAAUGCUAGCUUUCUUGUCAACUCAUCUGCUUGAGCAGCUUGAAGCUCAUCAUGUCUCUCACAAGAAGCGAUACAAACAUCGACCACAAAUGACAAGUUUGAAAAAAGCUCUUACACGCAAUGUACCUCUUUAGCAGCUGCUAUCAAUGCUAAUUGAAGACGAUGAGCCAAAUAAUACACAUAGUAUGCUUGAGGGCAAUUUUUUUUAUAAACAAUGUUUGUAAUCCUUUCCAUUCACCACACAUGUUACUUGCCCUAUCAUGUCCACGUCCUUGUCCUUGAAGAUUUUGAAUUGUGAACUUGUGUCUGGAAAGAGUUGCAAUAGUUUUGAAUUAUGAACAAUAGUUUUCAUAUUUAUAUUUGGAAUAUUUAUUUAUAAUAACGAACUGCACGAAGUAAAAACGGACUGUAUUAGAAAAAAACGGAUUUCACAAAAUAAAUACGAAUUGCGUUAGUAAUUUUUUUAAUUAAGAAUAUUUUAAUCUAUUCAUGGACUGCGCGAACCAAAAGACCGGCUGUAUAUAAAACAUUGAUUAAUAAUCAUUGAAAGCAACGUUAGUUAGCGUUUCAUUAGUAAUGUAUGUAUGUUGACCAAACAUGGAAAAAAAUCUUAGGCUUUAGGCCCAUAAUAAGCUAUGCUACUUUAAAUCCAGGUUCAGUCGGUGCAACAGUAAGAGGCCCACUGGCCCAUUUUCUUAAAUCCCAAAUUUCUAGCAGUUAAUGCCUUCAAAUUCAAAAGUUCGUCCAUUUCCUUCGACUCUCCAAGUCUCUAUCAAAAAAUAAAAACCGUCCAUUUAUUCAAGAACCCUAAAUUGUUCUCCGAUCGGCAAUAUCGAGUUCAGCGGUGACUCUGGUGAUUCAUCGAUGGCAGUAAGUAUCUUUUUGCUCGCUUGUUCUUAGUUCUUCAUUGAUACAGUGUCUCAUUUCUGAUCCUUUUGUUUCUCUCGAACCAGUGGUCAACGAGCUGAGAUUGUGCUACCAUGGAGAACACCUGCGGUGACUGCCGGUUACGGAAAACUGACAGGUUAAGCUAUCUUCCAGACUCAGUUCUUUAUCACAUCCUUUCAUAUCUAGAUACCAAAUCAGUUGUUCAAACCUCUGUAUUAUCCCGUCGGUGGAGAUCUACAUGGAAGCAUGUUCCUGCUCUCAACUUUCGUAGCCAGUCCUUCAGAGAGUAUAUACGCUUCAAGAUAUAUGUGUACAAGGUUCUGUCUCUUCGGUACCCGGUUGGUCUCCAAAAGAUCACCUACACCGACGAAGGUAAUUCGCGCGAACGUGAAGGUAGCCUGUUCGCUAGGCUCAUCGAAUAUGGCUUCACCCAUGGAGCUAAACAUUUAGUCAUUGAUCUUCACACUUACGAAUCCCGGGAUGACCUUCCGGAAUACUUCUUGUCUGAUUUGUUUGACACCACCACUGCUUCCAACUUUGAAACCCUGAAACUAAACCAUUUCAUGGUUGAUCCCGAAUUUCAAUCUCUUGGUUUCCGGAUGCUGACAAAGUUAGAGUUGUUCGAAUGCACGUUUGUGUCUGAUCACGAAGAGUUUGUCGAUACUUUCUCUGAAUUUCCAUGUCUGGAGCAUUUGGUAUUGGAUCGUCCGUCUCCUGAGGACCGUGAUGUUGAUGAUAAGAUAUUCAGGAUUUCCGGACCUAGAUUACUCAGUUUGAGCGUAACGGGUACUUGUUUCAGGAAACUCGAAAUACAUGCACUGAAACUUGAAUAUUUCCAUUUCCAUCUCUUUUGGGACCUUGUGGAGUUCACAGAGAUAAACCUUCCCUCCCUGGAUCAUGCUGUCAUUAGUAUCUUUGAUGAGUUCGAUUCUUACGAGGAGAAAACUGAUCGUGCAAAAUAUUGUUCGAUGUCCUUGCUCCGUGGGCUGGGUAAUGUGAAGACACUUAAGUUGUGUAACUCCACAAUCGAGGUAUUCCUUCUUGGAUUCGUAUUCUUGAAAUUGAAAUUUUACAUUAUGUUUUGGAAGAACUUCAGCUGUGCUUUGUUUGCAGCUAUUGUGCUGUAUUUCCGAGUAUCUAGCAGAACAACACUCUCCGUUUACAAGACUAGAGAGUUUGAGCUGUGGGCUUACAAAUCGACGUAAUGAAGCACUGAUCGAUUUCUUUGUUAAAGGCUCUUAUGGUACUGAACGGCAAGUUAAGAUUGAAUGGCCAGUAAUUACAGACUAAACUCGACUUAAAAUAUGCAUCGUUCGUUGCAAGUAGUUCCUUAAGAAGAACAUUAUCUAUGUAAAGAUGAGUAGCUUUGUUGCUGUUUUCUAACUAGACGUAAUAGUGGCUUUUGCAACUCGUAGUAUAUGUCGUUAUGUAGUUAACAAAAGCUGGCUUAAGAACAACCGUUAUGUGCUAUAUAGUUCAUGCUUUUUGACUGGUGAUCUA